AUUGAACGCUGGCGGCAUGCCUUACACAUGCAAGUCGAACGGCAGCACGGGUGCUUGCACCUGGUGGCGAGUGGCGAACGGGUGAGUAAUACAUCGGAACAUGUCCUGUAGUGGGUGAUAGCCCGGCGAAAGCCGGAUUAAUACCGCAUACGAUCUACGGAUGAAAGCGGGGGACCUUCGGGCCUCGCGCUAUAGGGUUGGCCGAUGGCUGAUUAGCUAGUUGGUGGGGUAAAGGCCUACCAAGGCGACGAUCAGUAGAUGGUCUGAGAGGACGACCAGCCACACUGGGACUGAGACACGGCCCAGACUCCUACGGGAGGCAGCAGUGGGGAAUUUUGGACAAUGGGCGAAAGCCUGAUCCAGCAAUGCCGCGUGUGUGAAGAAGGCCUUCGGGUUGUAAAGCACUUUUGUCCGGAAAGAAAUCCUUGGCUCUAAUACAGUCGGGGGAUGACGGUACCGGAAGAAUAAGCACCGGCUAACUACGUG
rnacentral:rRNA from 1 species